AAUUUAAUUUUUAAUGCUGUUGAAUCAUUAUCAAUUUUUUUUUUAAAUUUAUGUUUUUUGUCAGAAAAAUUAUGGUUUUUAAAUUUAUUAUACCUAGACGGUCUGCUCAGGAUAAUUUGUUAAUCUUUAUAAUCCACAACUCGUUUUAAUUUGGAAGCGUUGUUACGCAAAUACAAAGAGUUUGUUGAGAGCAAUUUGAUCAAAGAAUUCGGAUCUUUAACCCAAAGGCAACAAGAAUCCAAGUUCGUUAGAAAUCAUUUGCGAGUGUUGAAGCUAAAAGAAUACGCAUUUUCAACACCGUCGAUCAGGUGUCUGAACUCUGGUUUGGACAAUGCACGCGCUACCUACAUACGCCGCAUCCAUGUGUAUCUACAUCUCGUAAUCUUUUGUCAUGUGGCACAGCACUCCAACUGGAUCGAUGACUCUUGUGGAAGUCGUUCCGACGGUUGCACACUUAGCAUGGAACUAUUCCGUUAUGGAGGAAUGGUAUAAUUUCUUAAAAAUUAAUAAAUACUUAAUUAAUAAAUUAAUUAUAAUUUAAAAAUAAAAAAUUAAAUUUGAUAAUCUAGAUUAGUAGAAAUAAUUAAAAUAUAAAUUUUAACAUUAAUUUUAAAGAAAUUCACACAAGACCGAACCAACAACUCAGCCUUCCCUCUCAAACAUAAGGGAAUCACGCUAAAACUUUGGGGAAAGGGAGAAAAACAAGAACCUUUACCCACUCUUAAUUUCAAUCUUUAAUAUCUUUCAAUUCGCAGUUUCGAUCACCGCACCAUUUAUGGCCACGCAACUAUCGCGUUGAGUUCUACAAAAUCCACCAAACAAAGUGGAGUUAAUUAGUUUUGGAAAAUUGUUGGGUUUUGUCCCAAAUGACCGUGGGUAAGGUAAGAAACCACUAACUUUUGUGAAUUAUUGAUAAUUAUGAACCCUAUGUUAAUUUUGAGUGAUAUUGUUUGGUAUUAUAUUAAAUUGUAUAUGUUGGGAUCAAAUUGAUUGUAUUGGAGGCUUGGGAUUGAACAUUGGGAGCUGAGUUAGUGAUUGGUGAGAAAUUAGAGUUUUGAAGCAUGUGGAAUGGAGGAAUUUUGAAGUGUCCGAGUAUUAGGGUGGAAUUGGCUAAGGUAUGGUUUUAGUUUCUCGUAAAUAAUGUAUAAUGUAAUGUAAAAAUGUUGGUUAGUUGACCAUAACUCAGGUUGAAUUACGUGAACUUGUUAAGAUUUAGUGGUUUUUGGUAAAAAUGUUGAAUUUGUUAUGAGCUUAUGAUGAUGAUAGAUGUGGAUGAUGAUUAUGAGUUGUGAUGUUGAUAUAUACAUGAAUUGUGUUGUGUUUGAUUGUGGAUUGUUUGGAAUGAAACGGAAAAAAUUGAGAUUUGGUAUAUUGUGGAAGAGAUGGAAUGGAUAUGUAACUGUUUUGAACAUAUUUACUAUUGUAUUUGGAGUGUGAAACCUUGGUUUGAAUUGAGGUUUUGGUAAAAAUAGAGGUUUUGUGAUUUGAUAAAAACAAUUUUUUACUAAUUUCGGUGAGUCAUAACUUAGCUUUUGAACCCUCAAAUUUUAUCAAACUUGUUUCAAAUGAAAAUUAGGUCAAUAAAAUAUGAUAAAAUCUCUAAUAGGAAAAUAAUUAAUUAUUUUUUAUAAAUUUUAAUAGAUUUUAAACUCGAAGCAUCAUAAAAUCUAAUUUAAUUACUUUCUAAGAAAAUAAUUUUCUUUAAAUAAAAUUAUCAAAUAUAAUAAAACGUAAUUCAAUAUCUAAUUAAAAAAAGAAACUCGGGUUGUUAUAACAGCAUCAUCCACUUUCUUCCUUUUCUUCUAUACGAAUUCUGUCAAAUCCGUUCGAAUGCUGCUUGAAAUAAACCAAAUUGCACAUGACUCAAAGUAACAUUUAUAGUGGCUCAAAAAUACUUAAGCCUGGAUUAAAUUUAACAAAUUCGAAUGCAAAUUCACUAGGAAAAGAUAGGAAAGAUGCUCACGCAUUAGGGGUGUUCAAAACCGAUUUGGACUGAACAAAAUCGAUCAACCGAACCAAAAAAACCGAUAACCGAAUAAACCAAAAAUCGAAAAAACUGAAAAAUUCAUGUUUUGCUGUUUUUUAUGCGGUUCGAUUUGAUUUUCGGUUCUGACACUAAAAACUUUAACCGAACCAAACCGAACCGGUAACUAAAGAAACCCUAAAAAACCCUUCAGUUAACCCAACCCAUUAGGCAGCCCAUUACCCCACGACCCACCUUCCCACCCCCAUCAGAAAACCUAGCUUCCCCAUUACCCCACCCCCACGUCCCCACGCAACCAAAACUCUCAAAGAAAUCCCAUUACCCUAAGCCUCCCAGCAGCACCUCCCAGCCCCGCCGAACAGUGUCUCCCAGCCCCUCCCAGCAGCCCCUAACUCUUCUUGCCCCUUUGCCUCCAAUCCUCUCAACUCUCAGCGCCUUUUGCUCUCGCUCUCUCUUCCUCGUUCUCCCUUUGCUCCGCGCCUCCGUCAUUGCUGUCGGCCUGCCUCUGGACAGCACCAAGAAUGGAGCCUAAGUCAGAGUUGGUCCAAUGGAGGAUAGCCAGAAAAUUGAGGAGCAGGUGCAGGAAGAAGUGAUUUUAGACAAUGGAACUGAAAAGAAGCAGGAAACUCGUGAUGAGAUGCUUUCGCAGCACAGUUUGGUCAUAGUAUGAGGGAUAACAUUAGUGAAACUGAAGGUGGAAUUGGUGGAUAUGUAAUAUUGUAAUCAUUUUUUUAUUAAUCUAUCUUUUUAAUUAUAAAUAUUAUUUGUUAUGAUUGUUCCUUGUUUUAUAGAAGUUGCAUCUACUCUUGAUCCUAAAGUUUUUUUUAUGUUUUUAAGUUU